UCGACUUUAGGCCCCCGGUCCCGAGAGCGGUCGUGUAGAGCGCCAGGUAGAGCAUGCCCAGCUGCGCCCCAGUGGCCUUCUCGCACACGCCGUCCGCCGUGCACAGCGCCGGCCGCAGCCCCGCCACCGCCGUCGAGAUCGAAAAAAAGGGAGAAGGGGUGCGUACGGAGGCUUGAACGGCGGCGAAGACGGCGAUGGUGAGGUACCGGCCGAGAAAGGUAUCGCCGACGAAGCCGCCUAGGAGACAGAGCAUGAAGGAGGUGCCCAGGAAGUUGGUGACGGCGUUGGCAGCGGCGGCAUUACCCAGGUGCAUCGUCGCAGUCAAGUAGGUGACCAGAUUGACGGCGAUCCCCAGCGUCGUCAGCCUCUCGUUGAGCUCCACCACUUCACUCGCACGUCAACAUGGAUUCGCCAUUAAUGCUAUUUAAUCAUAAUUUACCAGAGCUAGCUGAAAUUACAAGUACUGAGAAUCGAUUAUAAGAUCUAUCUACUACGUGCCUAGGAUCAUGGCGGCGCUGGUCCAGCCGCCCGUGCGGGAUCGGACGGCGGGGCGGCCGCUGUAGUCCCAGGCGUCGGCGACGAUCUCGCCAGAGGCUUUGUGUUCCGGCAAGCCAACCAUUGUAGUCGGUCGAACUAGAAGAAGAUAUCGAGGCUUUGUUGUGAAUAAGUAUGCAGAAACAGAGGAAGAGGGAAGCCAUUUAUAGA